UACGUAGGGUGCAAGCGUUAAUCGGAAUUACUGGGCGUAAAGCGUGCGCAGGCGGUUUUCUAAGGCAGAUGUGAAAUCCCCGGGCUCAACCUGGGAACUGCAUUUGUGACUGUAGAGCUGGAGUGCGGCAGAGGGGGAUGGAAUUCCGAGUGUAGCAGUGAAAUGCGUAGAUAUGCGGAGGAACACCGAUGGCGAAGGCAAUCCCCUGGGCCUGCACUGACGCUGAUGCACGAAAGCGUGGGGAGCAAACAGG
rnacentral:rRNA from 1 species